GUUCCUGUGUGAUGGGGCCGGAGCCAGUAAACAGGCUUCCUUCUCGCUCUGCUGUAUAAGAAGAAGAAGUAGGAGAAACAAAAUAAGGAGGAGAAGAAGUAAAAUAAUUUGAGAAGGAAUAUGAAGGUAAUAUAGAAAUAAAUUUUGUUUUCAAUAUUAGGCUUUAUUUUUAGAGCAGUUUUAGAUUCACAGAGAACUUCUGUAUAUAACCACUUGCCUCUAGAUUAAGCUAAAUUUGAGUUUAUACUGAUUUCUCCAAAGCCAAUCUAUGAUUGCUUGGAUAAUGCUUAUCUCCUUCCCUUGCUUUAUCUGUAAAUUCCUAUUCCAACAGUGAGAAGUUUGGCUCUCACCAUCCACUGUUCCUUUAUUUAAUUGUUCAAUUCCAGGGCAUAUAUGCAGUAGUUUCAAAGUUGGUAACUAGUGCUUGCCAGGAGGCUACUUUACCAAAUAGAGUACAGUGCUUACAGGCAGUUUCUUUUGCCCUUACUCUUACAGACUUUACUCAUUUACAAAGUUACUCAGCUCAGCAUCUUCCUCUCCUCACCAUCUUCGGUGAGAUUGUUUCAAUAAUCUACUAGAGACACAGGUGUAAUUUCACCAUUAUUUGCCAUACAAUGAAAUGUUCCUGUUGCGCAUGUGUUAUUUUGGAAUCCCUGGACCUUCUAAAUGUUUCUUUUUUCUUACCUUUUAAUUUUAAAGUUUACCCCCUUAUGCUUUAAAGUUACAUGGGUUUUGGGUCAAAUGGUAUUUCUAGUUCUAGAUCCCUGAGGAAUCUCCACACUGACUUCCACAAUGGUUGAACUAGUUUACAGUCCCACCAACAGUGUAAAAGUGUUCCUAUGUCUCCACAUCCUCUCCAGCACCUGUUGUUUCCUGACUUUUUAAUGAUUGCCAUUCUAACUGGCGUGAGACGGUAUCUCAUUGUGGUUUUGAUUUGCAUUUCUCUGAUGGCCAGUGAUGAUGAGCAUUUUUUCAUGUGUUUUUUGGCUGCAUAAAUGUCUUCUUUUGAGAAGUGUCUGUUCAUGUCCUUCGCCCACUUUUUGAUGGGGUUGUUUGUUUUUUUCUUAACAAUGAGAUCACAUGGACACAGAAAGGGGAAUAUCACACUCUGGGGACUGUGGUGGGGUGGGGGGAGGGGGGAGGGAUAGCAUUGGGAGAUAUACCUAAUGCUAGAUGACGAGUUAGUGGGUGCAGUGCACCAGCAUGGCACAUGUAUACAUAUGUAACUAACCCGCACAAUGUGCACAUGUACCCUAAAACUUAAAGUAUAAAAAAAAAUUUAAAAAAAUUAAAA
rnacentral:lncRNA from 1 species